rnacentral:tRNA from 1 species
AUUGUAAUUUCUUAAAAAGAGUAUAAUAUUGAAGAUAUUAAGGUGAUUAUUUAAUCUUUAAA